CUCUUAUCCAGAGAGGUGGAGGGACUGGCCCGAUGAAACCCGGCAACAGCCGUCUAUGAGACGGAAAUGUGCCAAUUCCUGCAGGCAAACUGCCUGAGAGAUAAGAG
rnacentral:ncRNA from 2 species